rnacentral:rRNA from 1 species
UACGUAGGGGCUAGCGUUAUCCGGAAUUACUGGGCGUAAAGGGUGCGUAGGUGGUUUCCUAAGUCAGAGGUGAAAGGCUACGGCUCAACCGUAGUAAGCCUUUGAAACUGAGAAACUUGAGUGCAGGAGAGGAGAGUGGAAUUCCUAGUGUAGCGGUGAAAUGCGUAGAUAUUAGGAGGGACACCAGUUGCGAAGGCGGCUCUCUGGACUGUAACUGACACUGAGGCACGAAGGCGUGGGGAGCAAACAGGAUUAGAUACCCCCGUAGUCCCUGAGCGGG